rnacentral:snRNA from 1 species
UAGUGUUAUAGCUCUUUUAGAAUUUGUCUAGCAGGUUUUCUGGCUUUAGCUAGAAAACACAC